GACGAACCGAGCGAACGUUGUUCGGAAUCACUGGGCUUAAAGGGCGCGUAGGCGGGCUGCCAAGUUUGGGGUGAAAUCCUCCGGCUCAACCGGGGAAGUGCCUUGAAUACUGGCGGUCUAGAGGGAGGUAGGGGCGUGCGGAACUGUAGGUGGAGCGGUGAAAUGCGUUGAUAUCUACAGGAACUCCGGUGGCGAAGGCGGCACGCUGGACCUUUUCUGACGCUGAGGCGCGAAAGCCAGGGGAGCGAACGGG
rnacentral:rRNA from 1 species